rnacentral:lncRNA from 1 species
AUGUACAGCUGUGAAGGAUCCCUUCCCUCCGACUUGGAAGAACAAAUCAAAAAUCAAUUCGUUGAAAACGAAAUUGAGUAUCACAAGGACACAUUGGAGUCUCCAAAGGAGGAGUCAGUUGAGGAGGGACAAUUCAAAGGGAGGCCCAUAGAUGAACCAGCAAAGGAAGAUGUGGAUGUCGUGGGUGAAGAAAAGUUGCCAGAAUCAGAGUCACCAGAUAGGAUAUCUGGAUCGGUCUCUCCUGAAGUGGUUCCUGAAGUGGUACCUGAAGUGGUACCUGAAGUGGUACCUGAAGUGAUACCUGAAGUGGUGCCUGAAAAUGAAUCAGUGGAUUUUGAAGAGGAGCCUCCUGGUCUUGGGUACCUAACUCUACCCGCUCUUCUAGAAGAAGAAAUUCAGAUGGAGAGACAUUGCCCUAGUUUUGGAGUCACCUUGGAGUUUGUCGGGGACGGCUCCAACGGCAUGUUGGUGAGAAACAUCAGCAGUGACGGGGAUUUUGCUCGAGACAAUCGCAUAGCACCGAAUGAUUUUUUAGUUUCUCUAAACAAUGAGAAUUUGAGGCAUAUAACGAAUGCUCAAGCUCGAUUAAUCAUCCAACGGGCAGAGUUAUUACUCACUCCUAUCUAG